UACGUAGGGACCAAGCGUUGUUCGGAUUUACUGGGCGUAAAGGGUGCGUAGGCGGGUCUUUAAGUCAGGGGGGAAAUCCUGGAGCUCAACUCCAGAACUGCCUUUGAUACUGAGGAUCUUGAGUUCGGGAGAGGUGAGUGGAACUGCGAGUGUAGAGGUGAAAUUCGUAGAUAUUCGCAAGAACACCAGUGGCGAAGGCGGCUCACUGGCCCGAUACUGACGCUGAGGCACGAAAGCGUGGGGAGCAAACAGG
rnacentral:rRNA from 1 species